rnacentral:rRNA from 1 species
ACGCAAGUGUGAAACUUGAAGGAAUUGACGGAAGGGCACCACAAGAACGCGUGGAGCAUGUGGCUUAAUUUGACCCAACGCGGGAAAUCUUACCGGGUCCGGACACACUGAGGAUUGACAGGCAAUAUUGGAAUGUGUUUUUACGCAUUCCAUGUUAAAUAUGCUAGUCCUUUCAUGAUUAUGUGAUAGGUGGUGCAUGGCCGUUCUUAGUUCGUGGAGUGAUCUGUCUGCUUAAUUGCGUUUCACUAAGGGCUUAUUAAUUACGUGUGUAGCACUCUCUUUGACCCCUCUUUAUUGAGCGCGUGUCUUAGAUGAUUAUGCUCGCACAAUUAAGUCCUGAAAGCAACGAACGUGACCG